UACGUAGGGUGCAAGCGUUGUCCGGAAUUAUUGGGCGUAAAGAGCUCGUAGGCGGCUUGUUGCGUCGGCUGUGAAAUCCCGGGGCUUAACUCCGGGCGUGCAGCCGAUACGGGCAGGCUAGAGUCCGGUAGGGGAGACUGGAAUUCCUGGUGUAGCGGUGAAAUGCGCAGAUAUCAGGAGGAACACCGGUGGCGAAGGCGGUUCUCUGGGCCUUACCUGACGCUGAGGAGCGAAAGUGUGGGGAGCGAACAGG
rnacentral:rRNA from 1 species